rnacentral:rRNA from 1 species
GUUUGAUCCUGGCUCAGAAUGAACGCUGGCGGCGUGCCUUACACAUGCAAGUCGGAUGUGUCGCAAGACACAUGGCAGACGGGUGAGUAACACGUGGGAAACUUACCUCUUAGUGGGGAAUAACGCUCCGAAAGGAGCGGUAAUACCGCAUAAGACCUAUCGCUGGGAUGCGAUAGAUGAAAGCUGGGGAUCGUAAGACCUAGCGCUGAGAGAGAGUCCUGCGUCUGAUUAGUUAGUUGGUGAGGUAACGGCUCACCAAGACUUCGAUCAGUAGCCGGCCUGAGAGGGCGAUCGGCCACACUGGAACUGAGACACGGUCCAGACUCCUACGGGAGGCAGCAGUGGGGAAUCUUGCGCAAUGGGCGAAAGCCUGACGCAGCAACGCCGCGUGGGUGAUGAAGGUCUUCGGAUUGUAAAACCCUGUCGUUAGGGACGAAGACAUAAAUCCUAAUACGAUUUAUGUUUGACGGUACCUAGAAAGGAAGCCCCGGCUAACUCUGUGCCAGCAGCCGCGGUAAUACAGAGGGGGCAAGCGUUAUUCGGAAUUAUUGGGCGUAAAGGGUAGGUAGGUGGUCUUGUUUGUCUGGGGUGAAAUCCUUGGGCUUAACCUAAGAAGUGCCUCAGAAACGGCAAGACUAGAGUCCUGGAGAGGGUCGUGGAAUUCCCGGUGUAGCGGUGAAAUGCGUAGAGAUCGGGAGGAACACCAGAGGCGAAGGCGGCGACCUGGACAGGAACUGACACUCAACUACGAAAGCGUGGGUAGCAAACAGGAUUAGAUACCCUGGUAGUCCACGCCGUAAACGAUGGAUACUAGACUUGGUGGGUCUUGACCCCUGCCGAGUCGGAGCUAACGCGAUAAGUAUCCCGCCUGGGAAGUACGGUCGCAAGACUAAAACUCAAAGGAAUUGACGGGGGCCCGCACAAGCGGUGGAUCAUGUGGUUUAAUUCGAAGCAACGCGAAGAACCUUACCUGGGUUUGACAUCCUCUGACAGCUGUAGAGAUACAGUUUUCGUAGCAAUACGACAGAGAGACAGGUGCUGCAUGGCUGUCGUCAGCUCGUGUGGUGACAUGUUGGGUUAAGUCCCGCAACGAGCGCAACCCUUGUCUUUAGUUGCCAGCAUUCAGUUGGGCACUCUAGAGAGACUGCCGUGGUUAACACGGAGGAAGGUGGGGAUGACGUCAAGUCCUCAUGGCCCUUAUGGCCAGGGCUUCACACGUAAUACAAUGGUCGGUACAGAGGGUUGCCAACCCGCGAGGGGGAGCCAAUCCCAGAAAGCCGAUCGUAGUCCGGAUUGUAGUCUGCAACUCGACUGCAUGAAGUCGGAAUCGCUAGUAAUCGCGGAUCAGCAUGUCGCGGUGAAUACGUUCCCGGGCCUUGUACACACCGCCCGUCACACCAUGGGAGUGGGUUUUACCAGAAGUAGUUAGUCUAACCGUAAGGGAGACGAUUACCACGGUAGGAUUCAUGACUGGGGUGAAGUCAUAACAAGGUAGCCGUA